AUGUAAGCACACGCAUCAUUAUUACAAGUAAUUUUAUUUAUUAAACUGUUUGGUGAAUGCUCCAAUUUGUGUUAAUCAAUUAAUUUUAUAAUUAAUAUGGGAGCUUAAUCUGUUUACCAUUUAUCAAGAGAUGAACUAUCUCUUUUAAAACUUUUUAACGAUAAUAAUAGCACGAAAUUAUUGUAACCCUAAUUUUUUUUCGGAGCUAUUUACUACAUUUAUAUUGAUAAAACAUCUUAGUAUUACGUACACAUGCGAGGAAGGUUUUUUUCAAUUAAUUCUCAAUUUUAGAAGUACGUGUAUAAGGCUGAUCUAUCGUGAAAAGAUGCCCAACUGUAUGAGGUUACUCCACCUUGAACUCCGAGAUAGUAAAGUCCAUGAUCAUACAGAUUGGCCAAAAUUUGAUAAAUAUUUGAAUAAAGUUUUCACCAGCACCAGAGGAUCAGAUAUUCAAGGUUAUCAAGAUGAUUGCAGAAUGAACAGCUUCCACAGUUCAUUGAUUUUUUUGUUGAUUCAAAAGAUGAAAACUUGGAAAUAUCACAAAAAAAUAAGAAUUAAGUUCUUGCGAAAUUCUCACUAUGCAAAAACUAAGUAAGUUUUUUUUAUUAUUUUUCAUAAAUAAAUAGGUUUAAAAAUAAAGUUGCGUGAAAGCGAUUUUAUUACAUCGAAUUAACUAUGUUUAUUAGGGUGUGUCAUGUUAGGGCAACUUUUUUUUCAAC